rnacentral:rRNA from 1 species
CCUACGGGGGGCAGCAGUGGGGAAUAUUGGGCAAUGGGCGCAAGCCUGACCCAGCAACGCCGCGUGAAGGAAGAAGGCUUUCGGGUUGUAAACUUCUUUUAUCAGGGACGAAGCAAGUGACGGUACCUGACGAAUAAGCCACGGCUAACUACGUGCCAGCAGCCGCGGUAAUACGUAGGUGGCAAGCGUUAUCCGGAUUUACUGGGUGUAAAGGACGUGUAGGCGGGGAAGCAAGUCAGAUGUGAAAACCACGGGCUCAACCUGUGGCCUGCAUUUGAAACUGUUUUUCUUGAGUACUGGAGAGGCAGACGGAAUUCCUAGUGUAGCGGUGAAAUGCGUAGAUAUUAGGAGGAACACCAGUGGCGAAGGCGGUCUGCUGGACAGCAACUGACGCUGAGGCGCGAAAGCGUGGGGAGCAAACAGGAUUAGAUACCCUAGUAGUC